UCCUCAAUGAAGUUGACCGACAGCCGUCCAAAAAUCCUUGGCGAGACUGUAAAUCUUGAGGUUGCUGGUUCGAUCCCGGCUCGGGGGA
rnacentral:tRNA from 1 species